GAUGAACGCUGGCGGCGUGCUUAACACAUGCAAGUCGAACGAUGAAGCCCAGCUUGCUGGGUGGAUUCGUGGCGAACGGGUGAGUAACACGUGAGUAACCUGCCCUUAACUCUGGGAUAAGCCUGGGAAACUGUGUCUAAUACCGGAUAGGAGCGUCCCCCCCACGGUGGGGGUUGGAGAGAUUUAUCGGUUUUGGAUGGACUCGCGGCCUAUCAGCUUGUUGGUGUGGUAAUGGCUCACCAAGGCGACGACGGGUAGCCGGCCUGAGAGGGUGACCGGCCACACUGGGACUGAGACACGGCCCAGACUCCUACGGGAGGCAGCAGUGGGGAAUAUUGCACAAUGGGCGCAAGCCUGAUGCAGCGACGCCGCGUGAGGGAUGACGGCCUUCGGGUUGUAAACCGCUUUCAGUAGGGAAGAAGCGAGAGUGACGGUACCUGCAGAAGAAGCACCGGCUAACUACGUG
rnacentral:rRNA from 1 species